GUGGAUUAGAUACCCUGGUAGUCCACGCCCUAAACGAUGUCAACUGGUUGUUGGGGGAUUUAUUCUCUUAGUAACGAAGCUAACGCGUGAAGUUGACCGCCUGGGGAGUACGGUCGCAAGAUUAAAACUCAAAGGAAUUGACGGGGGCCCGCACAAGCGGUGGAUGAUGUGGAUUAAUUCGAUGCAACGCGAAAAACCUUACCUACGCUUGACAUGUCCGAAAGCCCGAAGAGAUUUGGGUGUGCUCGAAAGAGAAUCGGAACACAGGUGCUGCACGGCUGUCGACAACU
rnacentral:rRNA from 1 species